GAUGAACGCUGGCGGCGUGCCUAAUACAUGCGAGUCGAGCGAACGGACGAGAAGCUUGCUUCUCUGAUGUUAGCGGCGGACGGGUGAGUAACACGUGGAUAACCUACCUAUAAGACUGGGAUAACUUCGGGAAACCGGAGCUAAUACCGGAUAAUAUUUUGAACCGCAUGGUUAAAAAGUGAAAGACGGUCUUGCUGUCACUUAUAGAUGGAUCCGCGCUGCAUUAGCUAGUUGGUAAGGUAACGGCUUACCAAGGCAACGAUGCAUAGCCGACCUGAGAGGGUGAUCGGCCACACUGGAACUGAGACACGGUCCAGACUCCUACGGGAGGCAGCAGUAGGGAAUCUUCCGCAAUGGGCGAAAGCCUGACGGAGCAACGCCGCGUGAGUGAUGAAGGUCUUCGGAUCGUAAAACUCUGUUAUUAGGGAAGAACAUAUGUGUAAGUAACUGUGCACAUCUUGACGGUACCUAAUCAGAAAGCCACGGCUAACUACGU
rnacentral:rRNA from 1 species